AUAUUGGGCAAUGGGGGCAACCCUGACCCAGCCAUGCCGCGUGAGUGAAGAAGGUCUUCGGAUUGUAAAGCUCUUUCGGACGUGACGAUGAUGACGGUAGCGUCUAAAGAAGCACCGGCAAACUUCUUGCCAGCAGCCGCGGUAAUACGAAGGGUGCGAGCGUUGUUCGGAAUUACUGGGCGUAAAGGGAGUGUAGGCGGAUAUGUAAGAUAGCGGUGAAAUGCCGGGGCUCAACCCCGGAACUGCCAUUAUGACUAUGUAUCUAGAGUAAUGGAGAGGAUAGCGGAAUACCCAGUGUAGAGGUGAAAUUCGUGGAUAUUGGGUAGAACACCGGUGGCGAAGGCGGCUAUCUGGCCAUUUACUGACGCUGAGGCUCGAAAGCAUGGGGAUCAAACAG
rnacentral:rRNA from 1 species